rnacentral:rRNA from 1 species
GUUGCAAAAUGCGAUAAGUGGUGUGAUAUGCAAGUCCAAAACUUAUACGUGAAUCAUCGUAUUGUUGAACGCACUGCAUCGAGGCUUACCCAGGAACGAUACGCCCCAUUGAGCGUCCCCAAGUCUUCGCGACUUGUCAUUUUCUUGGCAUGUCCGGGUUCGGGAUUCACGACCGAUAAGGUUGCGCUUCCUUAGAAACAUUAGUGCACCGGCUUUGAUGGUGACCUUGUCAUGAAUGUCGAGGUGUGCCAGUAAGAGCUGCGUGUAAGAUCUGCAACUUGUGUGCAGAUCAAGUGCAUCCUUCAUGGACGCAACUUCUCUACAUGACCUCACGGGGGUGGGACGACCCGCUAGACUUAAGCAUAUUAAUCAGCGGAGGAAAAGAAACUAACCAGGAUUCCCUCAGUAACUGCGAGUGAAGUGGGACCAGCUCAAUGUGUGAAUCUGGCCGGGGGUAGUUCCCUGGUCCGAGUUGUGCACUAUGGACGCUUUGUCUGCGCUUGCGUAACGGCGGUGGAAGUCCGUUGAAACACGGCACCAGAGAGGGUCAUAGUCCUGUACCACCUGCCCGCACCCGCGCCAAUGACAGGCGCUCCUCGAGUCGCGUAGUUUUGUAAUGCUGCGCCAAGUGGGAGGUAGAGACCUUCUAAGGCUAAAUAUGAUGACGUGACCGAUAGCAAACAAGUACCGCGAGGGAAAGGUGAAAAGCAACCAUGAAAAAUGGGUUGGAACAGCAGUGAAAGUGCUACCGGGAUAAGGGCUAUUGGGUGCUAGGGCUCUUGACGUGUGCUUCAGUGCUACGUCUCGAGACGGCCUGCGCGGGUUGACGGGGGCGACAGACGGUCUGCUGGAAUUCGGCUGCCUCCGGGCAGUGUUGUAGCCAGCGGUCUCCGAUCCUCCCGCGACCAACAAAACCAUCGCCGGUCUGCGACCAUUAGCCGCCCGUCUUGAAACACGGAC